AAAUGAAUGUUAUGUCUUCCCCCCACCUCCCGACGCGGAAAAAAAUUGUAUCAACGUGGAAGGGAAAGGAGGCCGCUGAUUGGUGGCUGAGUGUCCGGAUGUUCGGAGAUGGAUUCCAGGGACAUUGGGUGGUGUCCUGGGCCGGAAACGCACCCGUUUGGAGACACGUGGCCUCUUGUGGGUAGAUGUCUCCAGUGCUUCUGCCGGGCUGGUGGAAAGGGAGCAUUUUUACUAGCUAGAAAAAUAAUUAAGACAGCGAGCCAAGAUCCACUGCCACCAAACAUCCGGAGAUGAAGAGACUGCAGGUGCUAGAAUCUGGAAGAGGAAACAAAAUCCUGGAAGAAUUCAGUGGAUCGAUCAGCAUCUAUGGAGGCAAGAGAAGAUGGCUGCUGGAAUCUGGAACAAACUGACUGAAGAUGUGGAGGAAGCAGAGACUAUCAAAUAUAAGAAGUAUCUGGACAUGCACUUAAAUCACCAACUCAAAGAAAGUUAAGAGCCAAGUGCUGAAAAAUUGUAUUAGUGCAGAUGGGUACCUGAUGGGUCACUAUGACACUGUGACAACGUUGUGAAUAAGGCAUGUAUAUCAACAAAGGAGCCAAGCUACACAGUAAAUUAGAACCAUAAACAUGAAGGAUGUAAUGUUGCCUUUUGUGCUUUUGUGAGCCUUACCAUGUCAUUCUGUCUCCAGGCCACUUGAGUUGCUUAUCUAAUCUUCCCCUAGAGAGGCUACAGGAGGGCAGUGGCUCAUGGGAGACCAGAAGAUAGGCUAACCUAAUUUAGCUGAAGUACACGUGACUGUGACGUAAAUAUUGACCUUAUCAUUUUUAUCUUCCAUUGCAAUCUUAUUGUGAACAUAUUUCAUUUUAACUCUGUUUCACAAGAACCUUCCUCUAGUUCCUGUAGUUUAUUUAAACUUUAUCCCUUAACUGUGAAUUAGCUUGAUGCAUUAAUAGAUUAAUAUAAUAAAAAGCUUCUGAACAGCUUUCAGAAAGGAAUUGGAUGAGAUAUUGAAUUGCUGCAGAGAGUCAGAAUUGAACCAACUGGAUCUGGACCUAGAAAAGUCUUCAUUGGUGAUGGCUGGAUUUAAUGAUUCAUCUGGAGGGAAGAUAUUCAGGAUUUGGCUCCAUCUGGAGUUUGUUCAGUUGGAGCUCUUUAAGAUUAACAUUUGCUGUCUAUCUCUCCAGCCCUCUGCAGCUCAUGUGUACCUGGGCAAUGGAGCCUCCAUGCUGAGCUGAACACUGUACAACUAUAGAAAUCUUUGAGAAUUUUUGGCGACAUACAAAAUCUCCUCAUGGUAGAGCCACUGGCAUGUCUUCCUCACAAAUGCAUCAAUAUAUCCAAGGUAGAUCCGCUGAGACGUUGAAGCCCAGGAACUUGAUGUUGUUUGCCCUUUCCACUGCUGUCCCCAUAGUGAGGAACGAUAUGUGUUCUCCUGAUUUCCCCUUCCAGGUCCACAGUCAAUUCCUUGGUCUUGCUGACAUUGAGUGUCAGAUUGUUGUUGCAACACCACUUAAGCGGCCAAUGAUGCAUGCCUCCUCAUUGCCAUUUGAGAUUCAAGGAACAACAGUGAUUGUGACAGUUGGCAAGGACUGGCAGCUUAGAAUUUCUGCUUUACUGUACUUAUGCCAUAAUCUAAGAAGAUUGAGGCAAGCAAGGUUCCCCCCCCCCCCCCACCGCUAUCAGCAAAUAUUGAUUGUUGAGUGAGGGAAGAUUUCUGCAAUGACGGGAACAGGAGGUUGGGGGUUUAUGACCUGGGCCUGAGGUUAUCACAGGUUCGCUGGAUGGGAGUUUGGGUUUUUAGGACCUAAUUCUCAAGUGAUUGUGGAUCAGGUAGUUGGGAGGGAGAGAGGAAAAGGGGAGAUGGUGGAACACAGAUUUCAACUCAAUGUAGCCAUUGAGAAUUGAGCCCCAAAAAUGCAAGGUAAGCGAGGUAAUCAGUACCUCUCAACUUCUCAAUGAAGAUCCUUUCAUGGAGCCUAUGGCCCCCAGCUGUGUUUCAAAAGGAGUACAGGAUGUGAAAGUUAUCAUCCCAAGAGAUGAGCAAAAAUCCUGUAUCCCUCAAGACGUUCAAAAAGGCUGGAUGAACUCAGCAGGUUGGGCAGCAUCCAUUGAAAGAAGCAGUCAAUGUUUCGGGUCGAAAACCUUCAUCAGGACAGGUGCUGCCUGACCUGCUGAGUUCAUCCAGCUUUUUUGUACGUCUUGAUUUGACCACAGCAUCUGCAGUGUACUUUGUGUUUACAAUCCUGUAUCCCUACUUGUUUCUUUUCCUCUUCAUCAUCAAGUUAUUGCAGAGGGUAUUUUUAUCUCGAAUAAAGAGGAGUCAAGGUAAUGUGAUUCAGUCAAUAAAACUACUAAACACAAUCCUGGGAAUGGUACUGAUGGCAGAGAGUAGAAGCAGGAAUUUCAUCUAGAAAAGAGCAAAAAGCCCAUUUGAGUGCAAUGGUGGGAGUUGGCUUUCCAACUCGAGAGAUAUUCCUGUGGGCUUCUUGACAUCACCUCAGCCCCGUGUCUACAACUCUGUCUUUGAUCAGCCAGCAUUUUGAUCCUAGCAGAGCCUCAUGUUCGCACACUGAUACCUUCCUGAUCCAGAAAUUUCUUCAGGCCACAGGUCCUCAACAUAGCUCUCCCCUGCAUAAUAACUUUAAAGAGUUAAAAGAUCCAGAUUGUUGUUUGAGGCACACAUAUUAAGAAUAAACCUAAAUGGUGAGAGUCGUCAAUGCAAGUUGAGUGGAGAUGAAGACCAGCAGGCAAUAAGAAUUGGUUCAAAGGAAAAUCAAGGUCAUAUAUUUGGUAUCAAGGAAACAUGUACGUACAAUAAUUUAAAACAUGAUAAUGGAGCCAAGCCAGGUAAUUGGAAUUGACUUGCACAUCAUCUGUGAUAUGAAUACCAUAAUUACAGAGAAAAUUUCAGGGUCAAAAAGGGGUCUGCUGUUCCCAAAGACCCUAAAAAUAUUAUGUAAUGUCUGAUAUGUCAGUUUUGAAAAUGGUAAUUCUUUUGUGGUAAAUUGAA